rnacentral:tRNA from 1 species
AUUUAUAUAGUAUAUAAGUAUAUUUAAUUUCCAAUUAAAAGGUUAAUAUAAAAUUAUAUAAAUA